UGAAAGGGUGCAGAUCCCCUUGCAGAAAGGGAACAGCAGAUCCUUUGGGAAAAGGAGCAUCCGUCUGCUGAUCUCUUCCAGCAACGACCCACAGCCAUGAUCAGGGUCACCUCUACCCCCACUGGUCCUCCCUGAGGACUCCUGGCCCUGCAACAACACAUCCCUUCCUGGCAGGGGGUGAGGGAUGCAAAAAAUCCAUCUGGAAGAGGUUUUUGCCUUUGUUACUUGUAAUGAAGGUGAGCUGUAAGCCCACAGUUGCCUCAUCCUUUUGGCCAUGCUUCCCAACUGAUUUGGGUUCUAUUAUUAGUAGCUGAUGUGCUGGUGGAGUCACUCUCCUCCUAACUCUGCUAAUUAAUCAACGUGCCCYGUGACAGCUCCUGGCCAUUAAAUAAUAUUCAUUAGUAUCCAGACCCCAACAGUAUGGAUGAACCCAUCUAUCUUCAUUAGCUCUUGGAUUUCAACAUCAGGAGCAGGAGCCAAAAGGGACAGUAAAAGGGCACUUUUCAUCCUUAUCCCAGUGAAAACUGACCUUGAUGAUUUUCUGCCUGUUGUGUGUUGGUCAGAGGAGAAGAUGGGUAGUAGUUUCAGCUCCUCUCCUAAUCCCAGGUGAUUAUUCUUUAGGAAAAAGGAGACAGGGUGCUCUUUAAAGGUGGUAAAUAAUAUGAUUAUCUUCAUUUUGUAAGAAAUAAGAGAAUGUCUCUUGGGUCAUGAGGGAAAGUGAAGCUCAACGUAUAUCAAUGCCCGAAUUACCUUCCUUCUCCUAACAAUUAACUUGGCCAGUGGUGAAAGCACUUCUGCACACAGGUAACCCUAAAUUUGCCCAACCUGUAUGCACAGCUCAAAACCAGGAAGGAGGAGYUACACUUCUUGUUAACAUUUCCCAAUGCAGCCAAACAUCUGGUGUUUUCCUGGGAAGCCACAGCUGCAUGCUCACCCUUGCUCCCCAAAAUGAGAGGGUAUGGCUGUCCUUGCUCAUCCCUGAGGUUAUUUCCUGAAUGUUCCUGCAACGUGGCAAAUACUCAGUCAUGUUGGGAAGUGGUGUCAUUUCCUUCCUGCCAGGUGAGUCUGCCCCAAAGCAAUUCCUCCUUUUGUCAGAUUAAUAUGAUCUAGGUUGGAGAGCCAAGAGGACUCAGAGAGGCCUCCUGAGAUGUUGAAGUUUGUCCCCUGCUCUUGGGUUAUACAAUACGAUCCUCUGGUCCCCCAUGGAUGUCCUGGGGGUGGUGGAUUUGUCCUCUGUUAGCAAUCCCAUGGAUGACCCAGGGAGGGACUGUGCAGUGGACAAUUUCCCAAUGUCUCUCAGACCUUUUGGGCCUUGCUCCCCACAGAAAUGUGGGUUUUGGAGAUGAACAAGAGAUGACAUUUUUGCUCCUCAGUCUGCUGUACUCAGGCUUUUGUGGUUUKCUCUCUCAUUUUCCUGUAGUGUUCCUGGAAUUAAUUUUGUUCCCUCCUCCUGCAGAUCUUCACUUGGAUCCACCUCUGUUGAUAUGGGUCUGCUGAGAAGAUGAAAAUCAGUCAUUUGCCUGGAGCCACCACUCGUUGCACUUGCCAGCCAAAUUUUCAAAAGAGCCCAGUUUGCUGACAUAAAUGGGGUUGCUGAUGUGCCGAAGGAGAAGGAAGCGCCGGAGAACAUAUUCCUCCCUGGGUGCAUGAAGAUGGAAAAUUGGAGGAGAAUUGGAGAAAAUAAAGAAGCGGACGCAGCUGGAAAUUUUUGGGAAUGGAAA